rnacentral:rRNA from 1 species
AUUGAACGCUAGCGGCAGGCUUAACACAUGCAAGUCGAACGAGUGGCGGACGGGUGAGUAAUGUAUCGGAACCUGCCCGGUGGCGGGGGAUAACUACUCGAAACAGUAGCUAAUACCGCAUACCAUCAGAUGUGCCCAGAUGGGAUUAGCUGGUAGGUGGGGUAACGGCUCACCAAGGCGACGAUCCCUAGCUGGUCUGAGAGGAUGACCAGCCACACUGGAACUGAGACACGGUCCAGACUCCUACGGGAGGCAGCAGUGGGGAAUAUUGCACAAUGGGCGCAACCCUGAUGCAGCCAUGCCGCGUGUGUGAAGAAGGCCUUCGGGUUGUAAAGCACUUUCAGCGGGGAGGCGUUACCCGCAGAAGAAGCACCGGCUAACUCCGUGCCAGCAGCCGCGGUAAUUC